AUAAAGUUUAAUUUUAGUUUAAUGAUUUAUUUAAUUUUUUUUUUACAUGUAAAUUUUAGUGGGAUUAUAAUAAUAAUUUAAAUAAUUAAUAUUAAAAAUUUUAUUCGCAGUAUUAAGUUUUAUUAAUUUAAGAAAUUAAGAAUUAUAAAUAAAUUUUAAUAUUAACAAAAUUUGUGCCAGCAGUUGCGGUUAUACAAAAAAUGUAAAUAAAUUUUAUUAGUAAAUAAUAAAAUGAAUUUAAUUUAAUAAAAAUAAAAUUUAUAAAGUGAAAUUUAAAAUUUUUAAUAGUUAUUAUUAAAAUUAUUGAUAUUAUGAAAUUUAUAUAGUAAACUAGGAUUAGAUACCCUAUUAUUAUAAAUGUUAAUUUUUACUAAAGUAGUAUUAGUUAUGAUCUUGAAAUUUAAAAAUUUUGGCGGUAUUUUAGUCUAUUCAGAGGAACCUGUUCUAUAAUUGAUAGUCCACGAUAAAUUAUACUUUAUUUAAUAGUUUAUAUAUCGUCGUUAUUAAAUAUUUUAUUAGAAUUAUAAUAUUUAAGAUUUUUAAUUUGAAAAUAUAUCAGAUCAAGGUGUAGUUUAUAAUAAAGAAGAAAUGGGUUACAAUAAAUUUAUUUAUGGAUUUUUAUAUAAAAAUGUAGAAUGAAAUUGGAUUUGAUAGUAAUAAAUUUUAUAUAAAAUUUAUGAUUAAAGCUCUAAAAUGUGUACAUAUCGCCCGUCACUCUUAUUAUAAGAUAAGAUAAGUCGUAACAUAGUAGAUGUACUGGAAAGUGUAUCUAGAAUGA
rnacentral:ncRNA from 1 species